rnacentral:lncRNA from 1 species
GUUACAGUGGUUAGGUUGUAUCGAAAAAGCAUAACCACUCUAUUGGCAUUAGAUUCCCCAAAGUAAAGAUGGGGUUAGGCCCAAUAAUUGUUAGGUGAGGGACCGAAUGACAGUUUUGCACUAGCUGGUAAAUGAUGGGUCGAACUUAACUAAAAAAUAUACCAAUAAUCAUUAGGUGAGUCCAUAGGAUUUAGAGAUCA